GUGUGCCUAUUUAAACUUACCCUAUGAGAGAAUUUCUGGCCACAAACUGAGCAUGAAAAAGGUUUCUCGCCAGUGUGGAUUCUUGUGUGCAUAUUUAAACUGUUCCUCUGAGAGAACUUUUGCCCACAAACUGAGCAUGAAAAAGGUUUCUCACCAGUGUGGAUUCUUGUGUGCAUCUUUAAA